CUAUGCUCAUCGAUUGCUAUUGUCUCGCAGAUACUGAGGCAUACACUUGGACAUAAAGAUGCAGAAUUGCAAAGUAUUACUGUGGGAACUGGAUUUCUUAAUGAAAGCUUAUUGCUGUAUGGAGCUCAGCAAUUUUCACCUCUGAGAGUCAUGAUCUUCUUAAAGAGAUGUUUUUCAAGCCCUUGAACCUACUGCCAUGAUUCAUGCAAACUUAAGAGGUCAGAGUGCAAUAACUUCACUCCUCCUUCUACAAAUGUGUCAUGCCUUGAGAGAGGUACAUAAUGACAUUAACAAUAGUUCCUGGUUUCUUACUCCUGGUAUGGACUACUUCUGAAAGGAAG